rnacentral:lncRNA from 1 species
UUUUUAGUAUUGAGACAAUUUCUCUCUUCUCUGUUCUGAUAAAGUUUGUCUUCUUCUGUCUGGAUUUGCGCAGAUUCCUCUGUUGAAUGCAGAUUCAGACGAGUAGAACCGAGUUUCGGACAGGAGAAUCAAAAGCUGUUCAAGAAAUGGGACACCGUUUUAGACGAGCAAACCCAAUGUGAAAAGAGAAUCAAAAGGUGUUCAAGAAAUGGAGAAAAUCAGAUCUUCUUCGCCGGAGAGAAGCGUCCAAAGAGAAAGCCUAGACGGAUUCUGAAACAAAUAAAGAAAGCAAGUCAGGUUCAGUUUCAAGACAAGGAGAAGAGGAUAUCAAGAUACCUGCAAAACAAAAAUUUAGCAGACAAGAAGUUCUUCUUCCCACAUCCAUGGUUUCUUCCUCCAAACCCAUUUGCACCACCACAUUCGAUUUUCCCACCAAACCCAUUUGCACCACCACCUUCUAUUUUCCCACCAAAUCCGUUUAAACCUCCACCUCCUUCUAUAUUUCCUCCAAACCCAUUUCGGCCUCCACCGCCUCAUUCGAUUUUCCCACCAAACCCGUUUCAGCCUCGUCCUUCUCCUCCUCCAUCAAUAUUUCCUCCAUUGUUUCCUCGGCCACCUCCCACUCCUCCUCCAUCGUUUUUCCCUCCAAACCCAUUUCAGCCUCGUCCUCCUCAACCUCCUCCUCCAUCGAUUUUACCUCCAAUAUUUCCUCAGCCUCCUCCUCCAGCUCCACCUCCUCCUCGAUCAAUAUUCCCUCCAAAUCCAUUUCAGCCU